rfam:Triticum urartu cultivar G1812 contig602640, whole genome shotgun sequence.
GUACUACUCCCUCCGUUCGGAAUUACUUGUCGCAGAAAUGGAUGUAUCUAGAUGUAUUUUAGGAGUCGAUACAUGCAUAUCCGAGACAAGUAAUUCCAAACGGAGGGAGUAUAAC